rnacentral:rRNA from 1 species
GAUGAACGCUGGCGGCGUGCCUAAUACAUGCAAGUCGAGCGAACAGACGAGGAGCUUGCUCCUCUGACGUUAGCGGCGGACGGGUGAGUAACACGUGGAUAACCUACCUAUAAGACUGGGAUAACUUCGGGAAACCGGAGCUAAUACCGGAUAAUAUAUUGAACCGCAUGGUUCAAUAGUGAAAGACGGUUUUGCUGUCACUUAUAGAUGGAUCCGCGCCGCAUUAGCUAGUUGGUAAGGGAACGGCUUACCAAGGCAACGAUGCGUAGCCGACCUGAGAGGGUGAUCGGCCACACUGGAACUGAGACACGGUCCAGACUCCUACGGGAGGCAGCAGUAGGGAAUCUUCCGCAAUGGGCGAAAGCUUGACGGAGCAACGCCGCGUGAGUGAUGAAGGUCUUCGGAUCGUAAAACUCUGUUAUUAGGGAAGAACAAAUGUGUAAGUAACUAUGCACGUCUUGACGGUACCUAAUCAGAAAGCCACGGCUAACUACGUG